rnacentral:lncRNA from 1 species
UUACGAUCAUUCAUACAUAUCCAAACCACCAAAAAAUAAUCAUUUCAUACCCAAAAUCAUCAUAACCAUGUAUAAUUAGUUAACUUUACAAAAUACGGAACAAAAAAAAUACAUACAUAAAGAAAUUAAAUCAUACUCAAUCAUCAACACAUCCAACCACCAAAACAUCAAGUUAGUUGCUACUAAUUUCAAAAAAAUUCGGCAGAGUUUCCUUUAAAAAUAGAUAUCCAGAAAAAUCUAAACCUGUUUACAAAACUUACAAUCAUCCAUACAUAUCCAAACCACCAAAAAAACCAUCAUUCCAUACCCAAAAUCAUCAUAACCAAGUAUAAUUAGCUAAAUUUACAAAAGGCGGAACACAAAAAAUAUAUACAUACAGAAAAUAGAGAAACAACAUGUUGAGCAUAAAACCCUUUACUUUACAGCUUACACCAAGUAUAUUAUUUACAGCUUACAUCAUGUAUCCUUCAAUAUAUACCUGAAAUUUAAAAAUUAUCGAAAUAUGUGAGUCAGAAUAAAAUAAUUGUAAAUCCGAAACAUAAGACCCCUUACUUUACCUUGAAUUAUAUAAAAAACAAAUUAGCACACAUAUUUGUAUGUAGGGGGGAAUGAAUUAGUUUGAUAAGUAAGAAUUUAGAGGGAUUUGUAACAAAUAAUCAAUUUUUUUAGGAAAAGAUAUGGACUUACAAUCAAAUAAAGUUUUUUUAGUACUAUUUCAACAAACGGUUCAUUUGCUUAAUGAUUUAAAUCAUAAAUUUGUAUUGGUGGCAGUAUAAUGGUGUGUGAGCUUGAUUUGCGAGUGUUUGAUUGGUUACAGUUAUGUGUGUGUUUGUGCAUAUAUUAUGUGUGUUGUGUCUGCAUGAGAAGUAGAUAAAUAUAGUCUUAGUAAAAGAGACUUUCACACCUAGACAAUUGUUUGGUCAGUGGUAGGUUAGUAAUCGCCAAAGGUGGACCUGUCAGUAUUGGAUUGCAUAUCAUUUAACUCUCUUAAAGGUAAGAAAAUGAUUAGUAAAAAAAACUUAUCAUACGGUAUUUUUUAAGUUGUCAUCCAUCUGUCACGACAUUAAUGAAAAUAAAUUAAAACAAAUAAGUUAUUAAAAAAAUCAAUAAGAUAUAUUUAGAUAGAGUUAAUCAGAUGAUAAACUUACACUACCAAAUAUAACAUGCAUUUAAUCAAACAUAAAUUUCAGAACCAAAAUUAAGGAAAAGGACAACCUAAAUUAGCCUACAAAUUUCACAAAAUGAACACUCAAUAAUAACCAACUCAACAUCCAUUCCAUCCUAACAUGCAUAAUAAACAAAUCUUAGUCAUAAUAACUAUAAACCUAUUUCAUAAUAAAAAUAAAAACAACCAAAUUAAAAGACACCCAAAUGUGUGUUGUUGUUGUGUGUGUGUGCGACUGUUGUGAAAGAGAGAGAGAGAGAGAGAUAGAGUGAGAACACAAAUUUAAAACAAAUCUAAACACCCAAAUUUGUGUGUUUUAAAAUAAAUUUGUGUGUUUUAAAACAAUUUUAAAACACACAAAUUAAACACAAACAUUCAAAAACUGAAGCUUUCGUCGACUUUAAAUAUUCUUUGUAUUGAUUAUUUUAUAAGAAGACUUAAAUAUUCGGCAACUUCAGUUAAAGAUUUCAAGCUAUGAUGAAAUAGAUAUAAAUAAGAAUAUAGAGUCCUUUUGGAAAGCAAAGACUUCUAAAAUAAAUAAGACUUCUAAAAAAUUAUUUCAAGUUAAAGUACGCAUGGAACAAAUAUGUAUCCAAACAAACAAUUAGAAUUUAAAAGGAAAAACCCCAAUCUAUGUAAUUAGCUAAGCUGAAGUGCACAUUUCUAUCAUUUGCCCCACAAUUUUUACAACCAAUCAAGUAACAAAAGUACUGCUCGGAACAAAAAAUAUGUGAGAAAUUGAACAAAAAAAACUAAAUAAGAGUUAUUUCUGACAGAGCAAUCAAAAAAGUGAGCUAUAAAAACCAACAAUUGAAGUUUCAACAGUUCAGAAACUCUUGAAUUUAAGAAAACUAUGUUUCUGAGGAGGUUAACAUACCUUAGGAGGUUUGAAAGGAUCAUCGCUCGGAUAAGGCGUUCCUACAACAAAAUUUGAUGUAAUUAAAUUUUUACUUGGGUGAACUACAAUGUAAUCAUGCCUUCCAAACUCUAUGGUAGCCUGAUUCACAAAAACAUUUCAACUAUGAAUUCAACAAACGACCUGACCACAAACUGAAGAAUAACAAUUAAAGAAACUUUCACGCAUCCUAAAAACAUGAUUAAUUGAAAAGGUCAAUAAUGGAAACAUAAACACAAAUUGCACAAUCUCUCUGCCUUUUUGUUCUUAUAACUUGAUAAUCUAUCGUGACUCAAAAUGAUGUCAAAACAGUUCCUUGAAGCAUAACAACCAAAGUUAGCUUAACAACCCCAAAGUUAGAUGGCCUUCUUUGAUAAUGGUGAAACUAUCAAUUAAAUUAUAGAGUCGAAAUGGCUCAUCAACACAGCCAAAGAUGUUACUGAUGAUUGCUACUUGUUGCUGCAAUUGGGCAACAGCUUCUUUUAUGACAUUCUUAUUUCACCAAUUUAUAACUUGCAAACUUGAAAAGAUUUGCAACGAAAGUAAAUAAUAUUAUGCACAAACAGAAUGUAAAUAAUAUUAUGAAAGUAAAUUUCUUUUCAUUCACUCUCCUCUCUAAAUUUUAAUUUAUUUCUUUCUCCUCCUCCCAAAUUCACAAACAAAAUGUUAAAUAAUAUUUUGAUUUGCAACGAUAAUUGUUGUUAGAAUAAAAAGGGUGCAAAACAGAGUAUCUUUAACCAACAAAGGAUUAUAAAUGAAGACCAUAUAAUAUGAUCAACUGCCCAAAAAAAAGAAAGAAGUAAUAAAGUAAAAAAAUUGAAAAGAAAAAAAAUAUGCAAUAUGCAAAGGAAUUGAGGUGCCCUAAUUUCUGCAACUGUGCUAGCAAAGGAAUUGAACAAUUUUUGUACACCCCACCGACUGCAAGAGGAUCAGAAAUUAGAGAGGGUUGAAUCCAAAUUCUUAAUUAUCUUUUUAGAAAUUAAAUGUUAAUUUGCAUAUGACUGUAAUUGAUAAAUUCGAGGUACAAAUUACUAACUAAAAAGCUUGUAAUUUCGGUCCUCUUGCCUGGUGCCUACUCCCUUGAAGUUGCUCACGGGAUCGGAAUAAACAUACCUGAAGGGGCAGCAGAGGAAUCGGGAGGUAACGAUACGGAUGUUGUCGACGGCCAUGACCGACCUCUACCUCCUCCGACGGAAGUGCUCUCUCUAUUCAGACGGGACGCUAGGUAAGGGAGAGAAGAAAAGAUUAGGGAGGGUUUCGCCAAAUUUCAGAGAGAAGAUAGAGAAUUGGGUGGGAUAGCAUGUAAGGGAGAGAACAAAAGAUUAGAGAGGAUUAGAGUGUAGGUGAAGGGUGAGUUUGGGCGGGAUUUUUUUUAUCCUAAGAUGGAGUAUGAGCCAUUAGAUUAAGUGAGAUAAAAUCACAGCCGUUCUUGUGCUUUCUCAACUUUUGAAGUGGAAAAAGAUUCAAAUUUGGUUGUGUUUUAUUAUAUAGAUAUAAAAUUGCCUUUCAAGAUUAAAUAGGCUAACUGCCCUAUUACAAGCAGUAUUUUAAAAAUUCUUCUAGGUCUGCCAAGGCAGAAUUGAUCCUCAGCCUCGAUUAGACCCUAGUCGUUUACGUUGAAACUUAAUUACUUUCAACUUUUUAUUUUAAAAAUUAUUAAUUGCAGUCCUUGACCUUGACAUUGUAUUUUCUUAUUGUUUUCUGAUGUAUGCUGGUUUUGUUUAUUUUUGUCUGAAGUCUUGGUAUAUCAUCAUUUUUGCAGAAUUCUGGAUCCAAAUCUGUGAGCAACAUGGCAAAUUUCCAAGCUGCCUGGAAGUAUCUUCCUGGUGCUUCACUUUUAGAAACCUCGAAAUUCGAAAGAAGCAAACAUGUGUAAAUAACUCAAAUUCAAAUCUGUAGGAGUACUGCCAAGCUUUUUGAGCAAGUAGAUUUGCAAAAUAGUGUUGUUUAUUUUCUUUAUUGGCCAAUUUGAUUAGUAUUGUCUACAUAACUAUCUUUAUCUUUCGGGGAAAAAAAACAAAAACAAUUGUGUAUGUUUUAUAUAUUGUAGCACUAUACUUUCUCAUCUUCUUAAGGAAUUGUUUUACGUAGUGCAAGAGAAAGAAAGUAGAAUAUGGUAACUAGAAUAUAUUUAUUUUCAGAUUGGUCAGAUAUAAAUUCAAGUACUUAUGCUGUAGUUGGACAGGACUAAAUGUGCUGGCCGGAGUUGGGCUUCUUUCUACUACACCUAAUAAACGUUGUGUAAGGUGUUAAUAGACAAUAUUUUUUACAAAAUAAACGUUGUUGCUUGUUAAAGUAGAAAUUCAAAAAUGUUGUAUAUAUGAAUUUAUUACAACGUUUUUUUAGUAAAAAACGUUGUGGAAUUAAACUAUCUACAACGUUUUUGCACAUCCAAGACUUUAUGGAAAACAAAUAGACAAUGCAUCCAAAACUUCUUAAACUAAUGUAGAGGUACUGCCGUCUGAUAGGUUAAACAUCAAAUUAUAAUACUAACACAUUAUCUUAAACAUUAGACAAACUAACAAUCUAUAGUAAUAAAAUAGAAUUCAAUUUGUACAUUCAUGCACGGACAAUUAUUAGUAUAUAUAUAUAUAUAUAUAUAUAUAUAUACCUGAAAGAAAUUGAUAUAUGGAUGAUUGGACAUGCAUGCAUUUAGACUUAAAAAAAGGCUGAAAAUACAUGCACACCAUACACAGCUUCAAUCACAAAAGUGAUAAAAAAAAAUGAAGAAGGAGGAGGGGAGAGUACCUGGAAAUGGGUUUCGGGGGAUCUUAAUUCUCCUUUGCACGGAUUCUCAGAGCUUUGGAAUCUCCGCCAUAUCUCAAAGAGGUCUCCAUUCCUAAAACUUGGUUGAAUAUAUAGCUCCCUAUGAAAUGAUGAAACCCUAGCUUCAUAUAGAGGAGGAAACUACUGUGUUUGACAGUGUGAC